rnacentral:rRNA from 1 species
AUGAACAUGGCCCUGAUGUUACGGUAGGUCUGGAGGAUCAUGCAAGGGGAGGGGGGAUUGUGGCUGCAGCUUCUGCAAGCUAAGUAUUUACGGGGCGAGCCCCUCCUUGUUUGGUCACGCACGGAGGGAUCCCAGUUCUGGAAGUCCAUCCAACGGAUUAAGCAGGAAAUCCUCCUUGGAGUGUCCUUCUCUAUAGGCAGUGGAGAAGGCACUCUAUUCUGGUUUGAUCCAUGGGUUGGGGGAGCCUUGCUAUAUCCGGGAUUCCCAAACUUGUAUGCUAUUUACGCUGACCCGAUGGUGUUGGUCUCCACAACUGCUACAAUGUACAGUGGAACAUCUUGUUCCGUCAACCGUUUGGAAAAGUGA